UUACACUUUAAUUGCAUGAUUUUUUGUGAUGUAAUUUCUGGAAACACCCAGUGUACCUCACAGGGCUGAUUGUUUGAUAAACUAGAAGCACCUGAAACCAACCCAAAAAAUAAAUAUAUAAAUAUCCAAGGGGAACUUAAGGUAGAUUGGAAGUGACAGAGAACUGCAGACAGCAGGGAACCAACAAUCCAGGAUGAUGAUAACCAAAAAACUUCCAAGUAAGGACAUUAUCCUCCUGCCCGCACCCCCCACGGCACCACCGAAGCCAGAACACUCUGCGUGUCUCGGGGAGGGGAAGCUGAAACAAGCCAGAUCAGGGGGCAGUCGCGCCCUGGCCCCUGCCCCAAAUUGGUGCUAUGGAAAACACCAAGACAGAGUUGUAUGUCUUUCUGACUUCAUUUCUAGCUGGGCUCAGAACUGGGACCUUUGAAGGGGAACUUCUUUGUCCCUGUUGCUCUCGGCCCAGGGGCCAGUCCCAGAGGGGAAGGAUUGGGGGACCAUGACUGUCCCUCCUGGACACAACAAGAGCCCCCAUGCUCAUGCCACAGCUGGGAGGUGGCCCAGGCCUGGUGGCUGCUGGCCCUGUGUUCCUGACGGCCGUGGAAGCACAGGCUCUUCCAGAAGGUGGUGGAGAGGGUGGUCCAGGGCAGGGGAGAUGUGUGCUGACGCUGGCAGACAAACCGUGGCCUGCUACCUUUAAGAUGUAGACCCAGGCGAGAUUGCAAAACUGCCG
rnacentral:lncRNA from 1 species